rnacentral:rRNA from 1 species
ACCUGCCCUAUGANNNUUUUAUUAUUAAAUGGCUGCGGUAAUUUGACCGUACAAAGGUAGCAUAAUCAUUAGUUUUUUAAUUGAGAACUGGAAUGAAAGGUCGAACGAAAAAAAAACUGUCUCAAUUUAAUUUAAAUUAGAAUUUUAUUUUUAAGUUAAAAAGCUUAAAUAAUUUUAAAAGACGAGAAGACCCUAUAGAGUUUUAUAUUUUAAUUNUUUAUAUAAAAAAUUAAAGAAUUAUUAUUUUUUAUAAAUAUUAAAAUAUUUAAUUGGGGCGAUUAAAAAAUUUAAAUAACUUUUUUUAAAUUUAAACAUUGAUUUAUGAAUAAUUGAUCCAUAUUUUUAUGAUUAUAAGAUUA